GAUGAACGCUGGCGGCGUGCCUAAUACAUGCAAGUCGAGCGAAUGGAUUAAGAGCUUGCUCUUAUGAAGUUAGCGGCGGACGGGUGAGUAACACGUGGGUAACCUGCCCAUAAGACUGGGAUAACUCCGGGAAACCGGGGCUAAUACCGGAUAACAUUUUGAACCGCAUGGUUCGAAAUUGAAAGGCGGCUUCGGCUGUCACUUAUGGAUGGACCCGCGUCGCGUUAGCUAGUUGGUGAGGUAACGGCUCACCAAGGCAACGAUGCGUAGCCGACAUGAGAGGGUGAUCGGCCACACUGGGACUGAGACACGGCCCAGACGCCUACGGGAGGCAGAAGUAGGGCAUCUUCCGCAAUGGACGAAAGUCUGAAGGAGCAACGCCGCGUGAGUGAUGAAGGCUUUCGGGUCGUAAAACUCUGUUGUUAGGGAAGAACAAGUGCUAGUUGAAUAAGCUGGCACCUUGACGGUACCUAACCAGAAAGCCACGGCUAACUACGUGCCAGCCGCCGCGGUAA
rnacentral:rRNA from 1 species